CCUACGGGAGGCAGCAGUGGGGAAUAUUGCACAAUGGGGGAAACCCUGAUGCAGCGACGCCGCGUGAGUGAAGAAGUAUUUCGGUAUGUAAAGCUCUAUCAGCAGGGAAGAAACCCAUCCUCCGGGGUGGCUGACGGUACCUGACUAAGAAGCCUCGGCUAACUACGUGCCAGCAGCCGCGGGAAUACGGAGGGGGCAAGCGUUAUUCGGAUUUACUGGGUGUAAAGGGAGCAGAGGUGGAAAGGGAAGUCAGAUGUGAAAACCCGGGGCCCAACCCCGGGAGUGCAUUUGAAGCUGGCUGGCUAGAGUGAAGGAGAGGUAAGUGGAAUUCCUAGUGUAGCGGUGAAAUGCAUAGAUAUUAGGAGGAACACCAGUGGCGAAGGCGGCUUACUGGACUGUAACUGACACUGAGGCUCGAAAGCGUGGGGAGCAAACAGGAUUAGAUACCCCGGUAGUC
rnacentral:rRNA from 1 species